AUUCCUAUAGGAUCCUAUAGGAAUAGAAUUCCUAUAGGAAUUCCUAUAGGAAUUCCUAUAGGAAUUCCUAUAGGAUCCUAUAGGAAUA